rnacentral:rRNA from 1 species
AGGUGCGAUCAUACCAGCACUAAUGCACUGGAUCCCAUCAGAACUCCGCAGUUAAGCGUGAUUGGGCAAGAGUAGUACUAGGAUGGGUGACCUCCUGGGAAGUCCUCGUGUUGCACCUCU